UUCAAGCACGUCUAACAAUGAGCUAUAAGGAUUCGCAUCUUCUCAUCUGCCGAACAGGUGGACGGUGUCCAGCUAGGUAUGGAACGCAUUACAAAAUUUUCACUAUAUAUACGAUAUCUCCUUGGGGGGAAAUUAUAGCUAGCGCAUUGCUUAUAUCAUAUUUUGUUUGAGUGCAGUGCAGUCUCACUGUGCUACUUGUGCAGUAUGCAUCCAAAGCCUAUAAUGAGUGGUAACGCUUCAAAGCUGCGAAAGGGUGCAUGGGGUUCAGAUGAAGAUACUCUUCUCCGAAGAUGUAUUGAGGAGUAUGGCGAAGAAAAGUGGCACCUUGUUCCUCAGAGAGCAGGGCUGAAUAGGUGCCGAAAGAGUUGUCGAUUGAGGUGGCUCAACUAUAUAUCUUAGGCCAACCAUAAGGCGAGGUGAGUUUGGUGAAGAUGAAGUGGAUCUUAUGAUAAGGCUUCACAGGCUACUGGGAAACAGGCAAGCUCAUGAAUGAAUUGAUUAAUACUAUCAUGUCAUGGACCAUAAGUCCAUCUAGAGAUUGGUUUGGUCAUGUUAUGGAUGAGACCAAAAUGUUUAAAAUUGUAACUCCAUAUGGCCGCGUUGAUGAGAAUAAAAUUUGAGCUAAUUUGUUUUCCA